AGGGAUUUAGCUCAGUGUCUUAAGCGCCUGCCUGGCAAGUACGAGGUCGGGAAUUCAAUUCCCAAUACCAA
rnacentral:tRNA from 1 species